rnacentral:rRNA from 1 species
AGCAGCCGCGGUAAUUCCAGCUCCAAUAGCGUAUAUUAAAGUUGUUGCAGUUAAAAAGCUCGUAGUUGAAUUUCGGAAUAAGCAGGUCGGUCGUGCCACAGGUAUGUACUGGUCUUGCUGAUUCCUCCCUCUGACGAAUCAUAAUGCCAUUAAUUUGGUGUUUUGGGGAAUCAGGACUGUUACUUUGAAAAAAU